GACGAACCGUGCAAACGUUGUUCGGAAUCACUGGGCUUAAAGGGCGCGUAGGCGGGCAAGCAAGUCGAAGGUGAAAUCCCACGGCUCAACCGUGGAAGUGCCCCCGAUACCGCUUGUCUUGAGGGAGAUAGGGGCGUGCGGAACUUCCGGUGGAGCGGUGAAAUGCGUAGAUAUCGGAAGGAACACCGGUGGCGAAAGCGGCGCGCUGGAUCUCUUCUGACGCUGAGGCGCGAAAGCCAGGGGAGCAAACGGG
rnacentral:rRNA from 1 species